rnacentral:tRNA from 1 species
GGGGUUGUGGCUCAGUGGUAGAGCACUUGCCUAGCACGAGGCACUGGGUUCGAUCCUCAGCACCACA